GGAUGUUAUCUUGGGGGAGGAUCAUUG
rnacentral:rRNA from 1 species